CCUGCUGCUGCUUUGCAUUGUGGACGCUGUAGUUCUCCCUGCAGCCUGGCGGGUCAUGUCAAGCCUGGAGUUACAGGAAAAUGAUCACCAGUUUUUGUUUGUUUGCCAUGUCAUGGGACUCCAGGCAGGGUUUGUUCAGGGUAGAUUCCUGGAGCCUCCAUCCUGAAAGCAGUCCUGUGCAGGAGCAGCUUUACCCGCCCAGACUUUGGAGCAAGUUGCUGCUGGAGUGGCAGAAAGGGCAAGAAUUUAAGGACAGAAGUCCCUCAUCUUCCUUGUGAAGACAGAAGUGAAAAAUAAACAAGAAGCCUAAUUGGUAACAGUAAAUGAAAUGUUUCAAGCUCACUGAAAA